AACGAACGCUGGCGGCAGGCUUAACACAUGCAAGUGGUGCGACGAACCAGACUUCGGUCUGGGGCCAAGCCGCGAACGGGUGAGUAACACGUGGGUAGCCUGCCCCGAUGAUCGGGACAACCCGGGGAAACCCGGGCUAAUACCGAAUGUGGUCGCGGUCCGUGAGGACCGUGACGAAAGGAAGCUUCGGCCUCCGCAUCGGGAUGGGCCCGCGGCCCAUUAGCUUGUUGGUGGGGUAAUGGCCUACCAAGGCAUCGAUGGGUAGCUGGUCUGAGAGGACGAUCAGCCACACUGGGACUGAGACACGGCCCAGACUCCUACGGGAGGCAGCAGUGGGGAAUCUUGCGCAAUGCGCGAAAGCGUGACGCAGCAACGCCGCGUGGGGGAAGAAGGCUCUCGGGUCGUAAACCCCUUUCAGUUGGGACGAAGCUUCGCCGGUGAAUAGCCGGCCGGAGUGACGGUACCUUCACAAGAAGCCCCGGCUAACUACGAGCCAGCCGCCGCCGUAAGAC
rnacentral:rRNA from 1 species